rnacentral:rRNA from 1 species
GAGCAAACAGGAUUAGAUACCCUGGUAGUCCACGCCGUAAACGAUGAGUGCUAAGUGUUGGAGGGUUUCCGCCCUUCAGUGCUGCAGCUAACGCAUUAAGCACUCCGCCUGGGGAGUACGACCGCAAGGUUGAAACUCAAAGGAAUUGACGGGGGCCCGCACAAGCGGUGGGGCAUGUGGUUUAAUUCGAAGCAACGCGAAGAACCUUACCAGGUCUUGACAUCCUUUGACCACUCUAGAGAUAGAGCUUCCCCUUCGGGGGCAAAGUGACAGGUGGUGCAUGGUUGUCGUCAGCUCGUGUCGUGAGAUGUUGGGUUAAGUCCCGCAACGAGCGCAACCCUUAUUGUUAGUUGCCAUCAUUCAGUUGGGCACUCUAGCAAGACUGCCGGUGACAAACCGGAGGAAGGUGGGGAUGACGUCAAAUCAUCAUGCCCCUUAUGACCUGGGCUACACACGUGCUACAAUGGGAAGUACAACGAGUUGCGAAGUCGCGAGGCUAAGCUAAUCUCUUAAAGCUUCUCUCAGUUCGGAUUGCAGGCUGCAACUCGCCUGCAUGAAGCCGGAAUCGCUAGUAAUCGCGGAUCAGCACGCCGCGGUGAAUACGUUCCCGGGCCUUGUACACACCGCCCGUCACACCACGAGAGUUUGUAACACCCGAAGUCGGUGAGGUAACCUUUUUGGAGCCAGCCGCCUAAGGUGGGAUAGAUGAUUGGGGUGAA